GAUGAACGCUAGCGGCAGGCCUAAUACAUGCAAGUCGAACGGUAGAUUUGGUAGCAAUACUGAAUUGAGAGUGACGUAAGGGUGCGUAACACGUAUGCAAUCUGCCCUCAACAGGAGUAUAGCUCGGGGAAACUCGGAUUAACCCUCCAUAAGAUCUUAGGGUGGCAUCACCUAGAGAUUAAAACUUCGGUGGUUGAGGAUGAGCAUGCGCAUGAUUAGUUAGUUGGAGGUGUAACGGACCCCCAAGACGAUGAUCAUUAGGGGAACUGAGAGGUUGAUCCCCCACACUGGCACUGAGAUACGGGCCAGACUCCUACGGGAGGCAGCAGUAGGGAAUAUUGGUCAAUGGGUGAGAGCCUGAACCAGCCAUGCCGCGUGCAGGAAGACGGCCUUCUGGGUUGUAAACUGCUUUUUAUCUGGGGAUAAAAAGACCGUGCGCGGUUAAUUGAAGGUACCAGAUGAAUAAGCACCGGCUAAACUACGUGCCAG
rnacentral:rRNA from 1 species